rnacentral:rRNA from 1 species
AAACCAACAGGGAUUGCCUCAGUAACGGCGAGUGAAGCGGCAAAAGCUCAAAUUUGAAAUCUGGAGCCUUCGGCUUCCGAGUUGUAAUUUGAAGAGGGUGUUUCGGUUGCGGCCUUGGCCCAAGUUCCUUGGAACAGGACGUCAUGGAGGGUGAGAAUCCCGUACAUGGCUGAAGGCUUGCUUCCAUGUGAAACCCCUUCGAAGAGUCGAGUUGUUUGGGAAUGCAGCUCAAAACGGGUGGUAAAUUUCAUCUAAAGCUAAAUAUUGGCGGGAGACCGAUAGCGCACAAGUAGAGUGAUCGAAAGAUGAAAAGCACUUUGAAAAGAGAGUUAAACAGUACGUGAAAUUGUUGAAAGGGAAGCGCUUGCAAUCAGACUCGCUCUCGGUUGAUCAGCGACGCCUUCUGGCGCGUGCACUCUGCCGUUUGCGGGCCAGCAUCAGUUGGGGCGGUGGGACAAAGGCAGCGGGAAUGUGGCUCCCCUCGGGGAGUGUUAUAGCCCGUUGCGCCAUGCCACCAGCCCCGACUGAGGUCCGCGGUUCGCCUAGGAUGCUGGCUUAAUGGUUGUAAGCGACCCGUCUUGAAACACGGACCAAGGAGUCUAACAUCUAUGCGAGUCUUUGGGUGUCAAACCCAUGGGCGUAAUGAAAGUGAACGGAGGUGGGAGUCCUCGGACGCACCAUCGACCGAUCCUGAUGUUCUCGGAUGGAUUUGAGUAGGAGCAUAGCUGUUGGGACCCGAAAGAUGGUGAACUAUGCCUGAAUAGGGUGAAGCCAGAGGAAACUCUGGUGGAGGCUCGCAGCGGUUCUGACGUGCAAAUCGAUCGUCAAAUUUGGGUAUAGGGGCGAAAGACUAAUCGAACCAUCUAGUAGCU